AUGUUCCUGGUGAGGAGUCAGGAUGCUGUGGUGUGCCUGGUCAGAAACUUCUACCCCAAGGAACUCCAUGUAUCUCUGGCCUCCCCUAGGUCCUCAGUGUCAGCACAGGCCCUCACUAUGGCUUCCACACCCCAUGGCACCCACAGUGCCAUGCAGAUUGGCAGGGUUGGUGAGAAUGACACAGUGACCUUCACAGUGCAGCACCUUGGGAAAGAGACCCUUGUGUCCUACCAGCCAGCACAGGAACCAGGGCUUGAGCAGGAGAAUCAGGUGUUCCUCAAGCUGUUGGUCUUAAGACUGCUAUUGAUGAAGACCGUGGCUAUCAACAGCCUGUUCACCACCCUGGGUUUUAUUUUAUGA